rnacentral:pre_miRNA from 1 species
GAAACACCCCUAUGGAGCAGGACUUGCUUCAGUAAGGUUUUGGUGCUCACUGAGUCUUCCUCUUGAGUGUGUCUCU